UGAUGUGAGGGUAAUCUGGCUGCGACAUCUGUCACCCCACUGAGCACCAGGGUUGACUCGGCUGAUCUGGCUGGCUAGGGCCGUGCCCCCUUCCUCCCUUAGAGCUCUACAUGUGUCCCUCCAGAAGCUUUGGGUAGAGUAGAAGAGGAUGAACACAACAGAGGAGUCCAUCCCUUGGUGAAGGGUACAGGAGCAGCUACACUCCCCUGCUAGAGCUGCCAAGUAUGUAUCUGUUUGCUUGACCCCUUUAAAAAUUUAUUUUCAACUAUACAUUUGCAUGGAGGGGAAAUUUCCAUUUAAUUCAGCUGAUGUGGAUAUUUUU
rnacentral:snRNA from 1 species